rnacentral:rRNA from 1 species
CCUACGGGUGGCAGCAGUGGGGAAUAUUGGACAAUGGGGGAAACCCUGAUCCAGCGACGCCGCGUGAGUGAAGAAGUAUUUCGGUACGUAAAGCUCUAUCAGCAGGAAAGAAAAUGACGGUACCUGACUAAGAAGCCCCGGCUAACUACGUGCCAGCAGCCGCGGUUAGACGUAGGGGGCAAGCGUUAUCCGGAUUUACUGGGUGUAAAGGGAGCGUAGACGGCGGCGCAAGUCUGGAGUGAAAUGCCGGGGCCCAACCCCGGGACUGCUACGGAUACUGGGAAGCUAGAGUGCAGGAGAGGUAGGCGGAAUGCCUGGUGUAGCGGUGAAAUGCGUAGAUAUCAGGAGGAACACCGGCGGCGAAGGCGGCUUACUGGACUGUAACUGACGUUGAGGCGCGAAGGCGUGGGGAGCAAACAGGAUGAGAUACCCGAGUAGUC